AACGAACGCUGGCGGCAUGCCUAACACAUGCAAGUCGAACGAGAUCUUCGGGUCUAGUGGCGCACGGGUGCGUAACGCGUGGGAAUCUGCCCUUUGGUUCGGAAUAACAGUUGGAAGCGACUGCUAAUACCGGAUGAUGACGAAAGUCCAAAGAUUUAUCGCCAGAGGAUGAGCCCGCGUAGGAUUAGCUAGUUGGGGUGGUAAAGGCGCACCAAGGCGACGAUCCUUAGCUGGUCUGAGAGGAUGAUCAGCCACACUGGGACUGAGACACGGCCCAGACUCCUAAGGGAGGCAGCAGUGGGGAAUAUUGGACAAUGGGCGAAAGCCUGAUCCAGCAAUGUCGCGUGAGUGAUGAAGGCCUUAGGGUUGUAAAGCUCUUUUACCCGGGAUGAUAAUGACAGUACCGGGAGAAUAAGCUCCGGCUAACUCCGUGCCAGCCGCCGCCGUAA
rnacentral:rRNA from 1 species